rnacentral:misc_RNA from 1 species
ACUUGCAAAGGAGGACCAAAUGGUCCUAAAAUAGGACUAACACGCGA